rnacentral:lncRNA from 1 species
GUAGAACCACAUCAGAACAGUUUUUAGUAUGGGUUUUGUGCCACUGAAAAACAGCGCAGGAGAGCUGUCCUUACAAGAGAGAUGCUGGAGAUAUUUCUGGUGCAUUGAUUUGGAAAUCAUCAAGUAGAAUCCUAAAUGCCAAGGCCUGAAAACCUGUCUCCACUGUUCUUUCCUUCCCUUUUAAGGCUGGCAGAACUGCAAGCUGGGAUAACACCAAGGACUGGAAUUCCCCAAACUGAACUUUUGAACUAAGACAUCUUUUAUUCCUAGGCAUACCCUCAAGAGAUGUAAAAACAAGUCCACAUAAGAGCCCCUCAAAGAUAUGAGGAUCCUCUUGACUAGAAUUGAAUGAGAGAACGAACACAUAGUUAAUUUUGAAUUUCAGAUAAACAACAAAUAACUUCCAUGAUAUAGGUAUACCCCAAAUAUUGUGUAAGACAUAUGUAUACUAAAAAUUAUUAUUUAUAUAAUGUGAUGUCUUGUAAUUUUAUUUGCUAAAUCUGGCAGCUGUAUAUUGAUAGGACCCCAAACCCAUCUGUGGUUAGGAGUCUGGGAUUCUAAGAGCUCUAAUUAUAGGAAGCUGAGUCCAGAAGAUUCUGAGUUUGAUCUGCCAAGAGAGUCAAGGUUUUUUCUAGACACUGCAUGGAACUCUUCACCCUAGAAGAAAGCGGAGUGUGUGGGCCCUGGUAUCUCUUAAGAAGCAGAAAUCUAUUGCUUUGAGUUAGAGGAGAUCACUUUCUUCAGUCUGGUUUGAAGCAACCUCUCUCUGAGAAUUAUUUAUGGUGCUUCCUUAAAAUGCAUUCAUUGUUCACUAAAACAACAAAAGCCUGCUCUUCGUGCCCAGCUCCACUUCUGCUGGCAGAUCUUCCCUCUCAUUCACGUCUUCAUCAGACUUGACUAUGUCCUAGGCCUGUUCCAAGAGCUGGCCUGAUUUCAGUGGCACAAUGAUACAACUUGAAGGGUGACAUCAGCAAGACGGUGGAAUAGAAAGCUCCAUACCUUCCUUCCUCCUACAGAGACACUGACUUAACAACAAUACGUGGACCAACUUCCUUUAAGAGAAAUCCAGAAGCCAGUUAAGAGGCUCCUGCACCCCAGAUCAGCAUGAGACCACCUUCACGGAAGCUGGUUGCAAUUGAUAGAAGAAUCAAAUUUCCUUGGAGAAGACAAAAUGUAUAUGAAGUGCCUCCUGCAGAGCCAGGGAUGUCAUAGGUGCUCAGUAAAUAGUAAGUCUUAUUUUUUAAAAAAUACAUUUCCUUUUUUCUUUCUCUCUUUCUUUCUUUUCUCUUUCUUUCUUUCUCUCUCUCUCUUUCUUUCUCUCUCUCUCUCUCUUUCUUUCUUUCCUGCCUUCCUUCUCUCCUUCCC